AGGGAGAGUUGUCCAGUCGUCCCGCCCUGCGAAUCCUUUUGUGGCGCGUGACCUGCCUUGUUCGCGCAACGUGACGUGACCCAUUCUUCUAUCCGUAGUAGGGAAGGUCUCCGGCUUGGGGGUUCCAUGAAGCCAUUGAAGAGAGACUCUUACCUCAGAGUGACGCUGAGACAGGAUCUCGCUCUGUCACCUAGGCUGAAGUGCAGUGGCUGUGGCACCAUCGUAGCUUACUGGAAACUCGAAUUCCUGGACUCAAGCAAUCCUCCCACCUCAGCCUCCCAAGUAGCUGGGAAUACACACCCCGGAUGACAGAGCAAGAAGA